AGACAGAGAUGGACAGAGAGAGGUUAAUACUCAAUGAUUCCUGUUUCAUGAUUGUACUGCCCUCUGGCGUUUAGUUAUAGUUUCUAGUCGGACUCAUUUCAGUGACGGACCUGUUAGAGCAAUAGCGCAGAAAUCAGUCACGAGUUUGCUUCAUUACACAGCUUGGUCAAAUAUGUGUCUUCUUACAGACUUAAAUGGAGAAAAGAUUAAGAAAUAAAACUGAGGAA